AUAUCAGUUGCAGGUAGCAGGGCUGGGCACACCAAAGAGGCUCCUAAAUAUGUGAGACUUUCCUAAACUUCAUGAGAGCAGAAUGCCCUAUGUAAGAGUCUCUUGGCUCCUCCAGAUGCUGUGCUGUGAAAAUGUGCCCUGCUCUUCCUGUUGAAGUGACUCACUGCAGUGCUCCAGGAAGAAUGCUCCACACAGGAAGUACACGGGAAAAGAAGCAAAUCCAACACGAAAAAGACACAUGCAAAUACAAGUGAAUUGGCUUAGAGAAAGAAUUGUUACCAAGGUCCACUGUUGGAAAUACAUCUGAAAGAGAUAACCUUGGAAGCUGGUCACCUGAACACAGUGAGAAAAAGGGUGUGAGAAAGGAAGGACCUGAUCAUCCAUCAGAUGGAAUCCAGACGUGACAAUUAGAGUUAAUGAACCAUGACCCAAGAAGCAGUUUCUGCACUUUACAAUCCUACUUCAUGGCCUCAGUAAAACUUACAGGGCUUUUUUUUUUCCCACAGAACACAUCUGCUCCAAAUUCUAAAGGGAGAAACUGGUUUCAGAAGUUACAUUUGGUUUCCUCCCUACUUUUCAGUCAUGUAUGAGGUAAAUGUAAGAACUUUGUUAACUAAAAAUCAGAAGAUACAGCUUCUACGAUGAGACUACAUAGUAUUAUUAUAGUAGCUAUUUAAUUUAUAUUAAAAUUAAUGAACUGAUAAAGAUGACUGGAAAACACCAAGCAAAUAUUUUCAAAACAACCAGCAUAAUGGCUUCUAUGUUUAAAUACUGGUUUUGGCCUCAGAUAGCUAAGAGAAUGCCUCAAAGGGGGAAAAAAAAAAAAGUUGAUUAAUACCUAAGUCUCCUAUCAUUUCUUCACAGAGCAGGUAUAGCUAAUGAAGCAGUGCCUCUUUUUCCCCAAAGUCCAGAAGAUCUACUGAACUUCUAAUCCUGAGGUGGAAUUGAUCUUUCUUUCCCUACGAGCAAAGUAUUCCUGCAGUCAGAGCCUCUCAAUAGUUUCUCAGAAUCACAAAAAUUCAUCCAUUUGGUCUUUUGCUACUAUUUGGAAUGAAGGAUUGAAAUAGGGCCAAACAACUCUUGGUGGUUUUCUUCCCAUACCAGACGCACCUUUUCUUGGCCUCCUCCAAAGAUGUGUUACCAAAACCAUAACAAUUCACUAUGAAAUCUGCUACCUAAAUUACAAUUGCUUUUUGGUUACAGUAGUGAAUUCUAAAAAAGCUUUUCCAGCAGCCCUGGUCAGAAAUCCACAAAGGAUACCUAGUGCAGAGCAGGAAGAUCUCAAGAGUUUGGAGAUAUUGUUUCACAGUCAGCUUACACUCCAGUUCCCUCUUCUCACUGAGUUAGGAAGUGAUUGGUUGCAUCCUGCUUCUGGAGAAGACAAAGGUAUUUCAGCCAUUGGUACUCCAAACUCAAAGAAGACCAUUAUUAAGAAAUGAAAGUCCAACUUGGUCUUGUACAUGGAAAUGUCUGCAGUACUUCCAAGACUUCUUCAAGAGUCAAUGGGUCUCAUAGGAAUGGCUCACAGAGCUUUUUUUCUUACUGACACUGUCCUCAUACAUUCCAAUUUUUACAGUUAGUAUGGCGUUCUCUUCAGUGAAACUUGAGCGCACACACUCAUGCUGUGUCAUGAGAAUUUUCUAGUCCUAUCACUGAAUUCCUUUCUUAUAGCUUAUAGUAAAAUCAUUUCCAAAGGAGGAGAGGAGAAGAGAACAUUGCUGUUUUCUGUUCUAAUAUGAGCAUGUGAAUAAAUUAAAUGAUAUUUAUAUCUUUAUAGAAGGAGCUUCACAAUUUU
rnacentral:lncRNA from 7 species